rnacentral:rRNA from 1 species
GACGAACGCGGGCGGCGUGCCUAAUACAUGCAAGUAGAACGCACAGGAUGCACCGUAGUUUACUACACCGUAUUCUUUGAGUUGCGAAACGGGUGAGUAACGCGUAGGUAACCUGCCUGGUAGCGGGGGAUAACUAUUGGAAACGAUAGCUAAUACCGCAUAAGAACAUUUACUGCAUGGUAGAUGUUUAAAAGGUGCAAGAGCAUCACUACCAGAUGGACCUGCGUUGUAUUAGCUAGUUGGUGAGGUAACGGCUCACCAAGGCAACGAUACAUAGCCGACCUGAGAGGGUGAUCGGCCACACUGGGACUGAGACACGGCCCAGACUCCUACGGGAGGCAGCAGUAGGGAAUCUUCGGCAAUGGGGGAAACCCUGACCGAGCAGCGCCGCGUGAGUGAAGAAGGUUUUCGGAUCGUAAAGCUCUGUUGUUAAGGAAGAACGUGUGUGAGAGUGGAAAGUUCACACAGUGACGGUACUUAACCAGAAAGGGACGGCUAACUACGUGCCAGCAGCCGCGGUAAUACGUAGGUCUCGAGCGUUGUCCGGAUUUAUUGGGCGUAAAGCGAGCGCAGGCGGUUAGAUAAGUCUGAAGUGAAAGGCAGUGGCUCAACCAUUGUAGGCUUUGGAAACUGUUUAACUUGAGUGCAGAAGGGGAGAGUGGAAUUCCAUGUGUAGCGGUGAAAUGCGUAGAUAUAUGGAGGAACACCGGUGGCGAAAGCGGCCCUCUGGUCUGUAACUGACGCUGAGGCUCGAAAGCGUGGGGAGCGAACAGG